rnacentral:rRNA from 1 species
UACGUAGGCAGCAAGCGUUGUUCGGAAUUACUGGGCGUAAAGAGUGCGUAGGUGGUUGGCUAAGUUUGGUGUGAAAUCUCCCGGCUCAACUGGGAGGGUGCGCCGAAAACUGGCUGGCUAGAGUGUGGGAGAGGGACGUGGAAUUCCUGGUGUAGCGGUGAAAUGCGUAGAUAUCAGGAGGAACACCUGCGGUGUAGACGGCGUCCUGGACCAUUACUGACACUGAGGCACGAAAGCGUGGGGAGCAAACAGG